CAGGUUGGAGCUGCUGAAUCUGGACUUCAAUGACAUUAAGGACGUACCACAGGAGAUGCACCGGUUGUCCCGUCUGGAGAAGUUGGCCUGCCAUCCUCUGGAUAAAGGACUCCACAUCGUCCACAACCCGCUGCUGAAGCCUGUGAAGGAGGUGCUGGAGGGCGGGCUCAGCGCCCUCUUCAACUACCUGCGAGCCACAUAGCGCAGGGGGCGGGGCUUCUUUUACUACGUGAGUGAAGGUAGAGCAGGGGGAGGGCCUUUUACAUCACCUGUGGGCGGGGGGGCUUCUUUUACUACUUGAGAGCUGUUUGGGGCUGAGACUACUUCAAAUCGGUAGUCGAGAGUUGUGGUGACGUUUCUUUAAGGAUGCAAGGACACAUUUUGUUUUGUGUAAUGAAAUCUUUCUCGACUAAUGUGAAGUUUUUUUUGUGUUUUUGUGAUAUUUGGUUGUAAACGUAGAUUCAGCCCAUGAGACCAUAAUAAAGUCACGUCAUCCUCAAA